GAUCUCUGGUUGGAGAUCCCUCCCUUGUGGAGUUUCUGUUGCAAGCCUAGAUCUUCAGAGACAGUUUCACAGCCUGACUGGGCAGGAGGUUCGUAUGAUGCCCAGGGAGGAUGCUCAUGGCAUGGCUGAGGGCCACAGCCCUGCUGUUCCAAAGGAGGAACAACUUCUGCAGCCCAGGAGUGAAUGCUGGAGACCUCCCUUGUUACUGACGGGGACCCAUCAUCAAUGUCCCCACCAGAAUGUGGCAUCUGAGACAGCAGUCCUGUGUGAGCUCUGGGCACUGUUCUGACUGUUAAGAUUUUAUUUCACCACAUCAGUCCAAAGCUGUGUUUGAUAGAUGGCAACUGCAGCCACUGGUCUACUGAGGGUCUUGGAUUUGAGGUGAAUGAGCAUCUACUGAUCUGCUCUUAUUGCCAUGGAGCAUCUCUGACUACUGUGGUCAUCUCCAGCAAUUUGGAAUCUAAACAACACAUAAAACCUCCCUGACUGAUCUGGAGGCUACCCAGAUUAUUUUGGAUCACAGAAUGGAUGAUUUCUUCAGGGCUCUGACGGACAACGCUUGGCUAUCAGUGUUCUUAGAGCCCAGUAUUUGCAGUGGGAGUGUGUCACUGGCAACAAAUGGCCUUUGGUGCUUACAGUAUCGCAACCCACCUCUGUAGCUUCACCUGGAGAUGCUGAGAACAGUUGUGUGAAUGGGGAGAAGAGAAAACAGCUGCUGGAUCUGACAGAGCAUCGCAUGUAGCUUCGGACUGAUGUCAGUAACCCAGAAGUUCUACUGCUGAGCUCAUCCCACAAGCUGAGCCCUGGUGGUCAGUUCCCUCCCCACCUUGAGCCCCUCACCCAGCCCUUGUACAGCCCCCCUGUUUCUCCAUGCCUAGCAUGUCAUUAAGGACAACCCUGCUUCCUGCAGCAGGGAGGAGGGCUGCAUUACCACCAAUGGGGUGUCAGGCUCCCAGCAAGGUCUCAAGGUAAACAGUUCAGCUUUGGUGCUUUCCUUGGAAGUUGCUGUUUGUAUUGCAGAGCUCAUGUGCCUGAGAGACUGUCUGUGAUUUUAUUUAUUUAUCUUUCCUGACUCUAUCAGUUGUUCCAAUAAAAGACACCCCCUUUCCUUACCAGCCUGCUUUGCACUUUUGAGCUCAGGUUGUGUAUCCCUUACUCUGUGCUGCUGACAAGGACUGAGGCUUCCCAACUGUGGGGUAUCUGGGAUGUCAGCUCUGUGCUGAGCACUGGGUUUACAUGAGAGGCCACAGUGAAUGUCCUUUCUAUUUCGGAGAGGAUCUCAACUCUCCCACCUGCUGUCUUUGAUGCAGAGGAAGCAUGUGAAGAUCUCCCCAUCUCCUUCUGCAGGGGCUGUGAUGGGGGACUUUUGGGGCUUAUCCCAGCUGUGGUCUGACCCUGCCCAGGCAGCUUUAGUGCUCUCUGCCCCAGUAGUGCUACACACUGCAGUGGUAUCCCAAGUGAUGCCCACUGGCUGUGGAUGGUGCUGCUCAGAGCACUGGGGCCAUACUGGUCCUUGCAGGCUGCUGUAAUUCAUUUUAAAGCCAUGUUGUAAGGCAGCCCCAUUGGGAUGUUCCCUCUGACAGGAGCCAGCAAAACACAUUGGACUCAUUCAUGUGUCACCUUGUUCUGAUACAGACAGCUUUCCCAGCACUAGAGGUUCCCUGGGGUGACAUCCUUUGGUCUGCAAACAUUAAUUGCCAUUAA